CACAGAUCCGACAGAGUUUGGAUUCCGCACAAGGGUUCUUCAACCCUUAAAUAGCCGCGUAUUCAAACUAGCCGAUCAUACGCUCCUUGCCUUCGUCACAUCCGUUCCAUCCAAGCAGUGUGGAAGAGGAAGUGAGAUUUGGCAGAUUACUGGUUCCGGUUCAAUCUUCUGAACCAACCGCGAAACCUUCGCCAAUCGAUGAUAUCCGUAAUGGAUUGUCUUCUUAUUCUCGCAGUCGGGGCAUCUCUGCCGGUUGAGGGCACCGGCCUUCCUCCGGUGGAGCUCUGCCUUGUUCUGACACCAACAAGCACUGAUUACCUGCGUUGCGUUUGCGUGACGCAUCCACAGAUCCAACAGAGUUUGGAUUCCGCACAAGGGUUCUUCAACCCUUAAAUAGCCGCGUAUUCAAACUAGCCGAUCAUACGCUCCUUGCCUUCGUCACAUCCGUUCCAUCCAAGCAGUGUGGAAGAAGAAGUGAGAUUUGGCAGAUUACUGGUUCCGGUUCAAUCUUCUGAACCAACCGCGAAACCUUCGCCAAUCGAUGAUAUCCGUAAUGGAUUGUCUUCUUAUUCUCGCAGUCGGGGCAUCUCUGCCGGUUGAGGGCACCGGCCUUCCUCCGGUGGAGCUCUGCCUUGUUCUGACACCAACAACAAGCACUGAUUACCUGCGUUGCGUUUGCGUGACGCAUCCACAGAUUCGACAGAGUUUGGAUUCCGCACAAGGGAUCUUCAUCCCUUAAAUAGCCGCGUAUUCAAACUAGCCGAUCAUACGCUCCUUGUCUUCGUCACAUCCGUUCCAUCCAAGCAGUGUGGAAGAGGAAGUGAGAUUUGGCAGAUUACUGGUUCCGGUUCAAUCUUCUGGUAAUAAGAUUCAUUGAUAGAGUUCACACAAAAUGCC